AUAUUAUUAAGCGGAGGAAAAGAAACUAACAAGGAUUCCCCUAGUAACAGCGAGUGAAGCGGGAAUAGCUCAACCUGAAAAUCGGUGUGCUCUGUACAUCGAAUUGUGGGCUUGAGACUGGACAUCAGCGUGCGACCUGGGUAUAAAUCCUUUGGAAUAGGGUAUCAUAGAGGGUGAGAAUCCCGUCUUUGACUCAGAGUUCGCCGCGUACGAUUCCAGCUCCUAGAGUCGAAUAGCUUGGGAAUGCUGUUCUAAGCAGGUGGUAAAUUUCAUCUAAAGCUAAAUAUCGACGAGAGACCGAUAGCGCACAAGUA
rnacentral:rRNA from 1 species